GUGGGGAAUCUUGCGCAAUGGGCGAAAGCCUGACGCAGCCAUGCCGCGUGAAUGAUGAAGGUCUUAGGAUUGUAAAAUUCUUUCACCGGGGACGAUAAUGACGGUACCCGGAGAAGAAGCCCCGGCUAACUUCGUGCCAGCAGCUGCGGUAAUACGAAGGGGGCUAGCGUUGCUCGGAAUUACUGGGCGUAAAGGGCGCGUAGGCGGACAGUUUAGUCAGAGGUGAAAGCCCAGGGCUCAACCUUGGAAUUGCCUUUGAUACUGGCUGUCUUGAGUACGGGAGAGGUGAGUGGAACUCCGAGUGUAGAGGUGAAAUUCGUAGAUAUUCGGAAGAACACCAGUGGCGAAGGCGACUCACUGGCCCGUUACUGACGCUGAGGCGCGAAAGCGUGGGGAGCAAACAGGAUUAGAAACCCCUGUAGUCC
rnacentral:rRNA from 1 species